rnacentral:rRNA from 1 species
GAUGGUAGGAUAGAGGCCUACCAUGGUGGUAACGGGUAACGGGGUGUUAGGGCACGACACCGGAGAGGGAGCCUGAGAAACGGCUACCACAUCCAAGGAUGGCAGCAGGCGCGCAAAUUACCCAAUCCCGACACGGGGAGGUAGUGACAAUAAAUAACAAUACGGGGUUCUUUAGGAUCUCGUAAUUGGAAUGAGUACAAUUUAAAUCUCUUAACGAGGAACAAUUGGAGGGCAAGUCUGGUGCCAGCAGCCGCGGUAAUUCCAGCUCCAAUAGCGUAUAUUAAAGUUGUUGCAGUUAAAAAGCUCGUAGUUGAAUUUCGGGGUUAGUAGGUUGGUCAUGCCUCUGGUAUGUACUGGUCUCACUGAUUCCUCCUUCCUGAUGAGCCGUAAUGCCAUUAAUUUGGUGUUUUGGGGAAUUUGGACUGUUACCUUGAAAAAAUUAGAGUGUUUAAAGCAAGCUUACGCUUGAAUACAUUAGCAUGGAAUAAUGAAAUAGGACGUUUGAUCCUAUUUUGUUGGUUUCUAGGAUCGACGUAAUGAUUAAUAGGGAUAGUUGGGGGCAUUAGUAUUCAAUUGUCAGAGGUGAAAUUCUUGGAUUUAUUGAAGACUAACUACUGCGAAAGCAUUUGCCAAGGAUGUUUUCAUUAAUCAAGAACGAAAGUUAGGGGAUCGAAGACGAUCAGAUACCGUCGUAGUCUUAACCAUAAACUAUGCCGACUAGGGAUCGGAUGAUGUUAAUUUUUUAAUGACUCAUUCGGCGCCUUACGGGAAA